GGGUUGUGAGGUUAAGCGACUAAGCGUACACGGUGGAUGCCCUGGCAGUCAGAGGCGAUGAAGGACGUGCUAAUCUGCGAUAAGCGUCGGUAAGGUGAUAUGAACCGUUAUAACCGGCGAUUUCCGAAUGGGGAAACCCAGUGUGAUUCGUCACACUAUCAUUAACUGAAUCCAUAGGUUAAUGAGGCGAACCGGGGGAACUGAAACAUCUAAGUACCCCGAGGAAAAGAAAUCAACCGAGAUUCCCCCAGUAGCGGCGAGCGAACGGGGAGCAGCCCAGAGCCUGAAUCAGUGUGUGUGUUAGUGGAAGCGUCUGGAAAGGCGCGCGAUACAGGGUGACAGCCCCGUACACAAAAAUGCACAUAUUGUGAGCUCGAUGAGUAGGGCGGGACACGUGGUAUCCUGUCUGAAUAUGGGGGGCCCAUCCUCCAAGGCUAAAUACUCCUGACUGACCGAUAGUGAACCAGUACCGUGAGGGAAAGGCGAAAAGAACCCCGGCGAGGGGAGUGAAAAAGAACCUGAAACCGUGUACGUACAAGCAGUGGGAGCACGCUUAGGCGUGUGACUGCGUACCUUUUGUAUAAUGGGUCAGCGACUUAUAUUCUGUAGCAAGGUUAACCGAAUAGGGGAGCCGAAGGGAAACCGAGUCUUAACUGGGCGUUAAGUUGCAGGGUAUAGACCCGAAACCCGGUGAUCUAGCCAUGGGCAGGUUGAAGGUUGGGUAACACUAACUGGAGGACCGAACCGACUAAUGUUGAAAAAUUAGCGGAUGACUUGUGGCUGGGGGUGAAAGGCCAAUCAAACCGGGAGAUAGCUGGUUCUCCCCGAAAGCUAUUUAGGUAGCGCCUCGUGAAUUCAUCUCCGGGGGUAGAGCACUGUUUCGGCAAGGGGGUCAUCCCGACUUACCAACCCGAUGCAAACUGCGAAUACCGGAGAAUGUUAUCACGGGAGACACACGGCGGGUGCUAACGUCCGUCGUGAAGAGGGAAACAACCCAGACCGCCAGCUAAGGUCCCAAAGUCAUGGUUAAGUGGGAAACGAUGUGGGAAGGCCCAGACAGCCAGGAUGUUGGCUUAGAAGCAGCCAUCAUUUAAAGAAAGCGUAAUAGCUCACUGGUCGAGUCGGCCUGCGCGGAAGAUGUAACGGGGCUAAACCAU
rnacentral:rRNA from 1 species